AGUGAACGCUGGCGGCGUGCUUAACACAUGCAAGUCGAACGAGAACGGAAUAUAGCUUGCUAUAUUUGUCAGCUAAGUGGCGCACGGGUGAGUAAUGUAUAGAUAACCUGCCCUUAAGUAAGGAAUAACAGUUGGAAACGACUGCUAAUGCCCUAUAUGCCUUUAAUACAUAAGUAUGCAAGGGAAACGCUUUAGUGCUUAAGGAUGGGUCUGUAUGGUAUCAGCUUGUUGGUGAGGUAAUGGCUCACCAAGGCUAUGACGCCUAACUGGUUUGAGAGGAAGCGCAGUCAGACUGGAACUGAGGCACGGUCCAGACUCCUACGGGAGGCAGCAGUGGGGAAUAUUGCACAAUGGACGAAAGUCUGAUGCAGCAACGCCGCGUGGAGGAUGACACAUUUCGGUGCGUAAACUCCUUUUAUAUAGGAAGAUAAUGACGGUACUAUAUGAAUAAGCACCGGCUAACUCCGUGCCAGCCGCCGCCGUAAAAC
rnacentral:rRNA from 1 species